ACGCUCGACACCUACGGUAGGCAGCAGUGAGGAAUAUUGGUCAAUGGGCGCAGGCCUGAACCAGCCAAGUAGCGUGAAGGAUGACUGCCCUAUGGGUUGUAAACUUCUUUUAUAUGGGAAUAAAGUUUUCCACGUGUGGAAUUUUGUAUGUACCAUAUGAAUAAGGAUCGGCUAACUCCGUGCCAGCACGCCGGUACGGUUAACUCGUGACGGCGGGCGUGGACGAAGGC
rnacentral:rRNA from 1 species